CAAAAAAGCUCCAAGCGAUGAGAGAAGGACAUUAAUAAAUUCACUGGAUAUGUAUUUUCAAGAUUGAUAACAUAUGCCGGCGGGAAACCUCUCGAGAAAGGCGAGAAGGAGAAGGAAAUUAAAGCCUCAUAUGUUAAAAUUUCAGGCCAAAAAAACAAGCUAUGACUGCGCUAUCUACGUAAUGAAGUGGCUUGAGUUAAUAGAGCCGGAAAACAUUAAAAAGGGGAAGUAUGAAUGGGAUAAUUGGACACAGG